rnacentral:lncRNA from 1 species
UGAAAAUUAACAAAUCAUACCAAGCAAGUGUUUCACUCAAUCACUCAAGUGUUUAAGGUGACACUCCAACUCUCUAUUGUUCACAAGUCACAUGAAACAAAAUUGCCAUUCAUCUCAAAUAAUCAACAUCCUUACUUGCAAAUGCCAUCAAAAGGACUUUUCCAAGGCUUGUAAUGAGGUUGGGCUAACAAGAAAGAAUUGGUUUUUCUAGAAUGCAAAAUCCUUGAGUCAAGAGAGCUAACAAAAUAUUCAACAUUUAAACAGAACUCUCUCACCAAUAUCUCUCAUUCCCAACUUCUUCCCUUUUCUUUUCUUUUUCAUUGAGCUCAUCUUCAUGCUUUUCUUCUUUUCUUUUCUUUUUCUCAUGAAUUUUUCUCUUUUCACAACAAUUGAGCUCAAUGCCUUUCACUUGCUUUUUCAAUUUUUCCCCCGUACAACCCCAAACUUGAACCUUUUCAUCACAUACAAUUAAGCUCAUCCCAACUCAAGGUAAAGAAUUUCAAAACAAGGGUUCACAUACUGUUUAAGGCUAAGGUUCAAAUAGGACAUAUUAUUUUCAAGCACUUUGGGUGAAAAUUUGGCUAGAGAAGGGUUUUCAACAAUGACCUUGAUCAUAUGACAUUUACAUGCAAUUCAAUCGAUCAUCAAGAUUAAGGCAAUAUCAUCCAUGUUUUCCUAUGAACAAUACAUGCAACAAUAAAAACUAUGGAGCUCAAAAUCUCACACACAUGCUUCCUCACACAAAAUUCAUUCAUACACCAUGCCUAGCAUCAUGACCACAAUCAUAAAUUCAUCACCCAUCUAUUUCCUGGAUAUCAUCAUGCUUUACAACUCAAUUUUCAUUCACAUCC